rnacentral:rRNA from 1 species
CCUACGGGAGGCAGCAGUAAGGAAUAUUGGACAAUGGACGCAAGUCUGAUCCAGCCAUGCCGCGUGAAGGAUUAAGGCCCUCUGGGUUGUAAACUUCUUUUAUAGGGGACGAAAAAAGGGCUUUCUAGCUCGACUGACGGUACCCUAUGAAUAAGCACCGGCUAACUCCGUGCCAGCAGCCGCGGUAAUACGGAGGGUGCAAGCGUUAUCCGGAUUCACUGGGUUUAAAGGGUGCGUAGGCGGGCAUUUAAGUCAGUGGUGAAAUCUUCGAGCUCAACUCGGAAACUGCCAUUGAUACUAUUUGUCUUGAAUAUUGUGGAGGUGAGCGGAAUAUGUCAUGUAGCGGUGAAAUGCUUAGAUAUGACAUAGAACACCGAUUGCGAAGGCAGCUCGCUACACAAAUAUUGACGCUGAGGCACGAAAGCGUGGGGAUCAAACAGGAUUAGAUACCCUGGUAGUCCACGCCCUAAACUAUGGAUACUCGACAUUUGCGAUACACAGUAAGUGUNUGAGACGAAGANAUAAGUAUACCACCGCGGAGACGACCGACGAGUAGUAACGUACAAGAAGUAGUAGACGAGAGAGAGCGACGGACGGACGACGAGGAGGGAGGAG